UAAAAGCUUGGUCCUGACUUUACUAUCAGCUUUAGCUAUACUUACACAUGCAAGUAUCCGCACCCCGGUGAGAAUGCCCUAAUAGUUCCCCGCCCGGGAACAAGGAGCCGAUAUCAGGCACAUAUAAAUAAGCCCACAACAUCUUGCUCAGCCACACCCCCAAGGGAACCCAGCAGUGAUAGACAUUAAGCUAUGAGUGAAAACUCGACUUAGUUAAAGCUACAUAAGGGCCGGUAAAACUCGUGCCAGCCACCGCGGUUAUACGAGAGACCCAAGUUGAUAAGGCACGGCGUAAAGAGUGGUUAAGAUUAACUAGAAACUAAAGCCGAAUGCCCUCAAAGCUGUUAUACGCCCCCGAAGGUAAGAAGACCAACCACGAAAGUGACUUUACACUACUGAACCCACGAAAGCUAGGUUACAAACUGGGAUUAGAUACCCCACUAUGCCUAGCCUUAAACAUUGAUGGCACAAUACAACCACCAUCCGCCUGGAUACUACGAGCCACCAGCUUGAAACCCAAAGGACUUGGCGGUGCUUUAGAUCCACCCUAGAGGAGCCUGUUCCUAGAACCGAUAACCCCCGUUUAACCUCACCCCUCCUUGCUCUUCCCGUCUAUAUACCGCCGCCGUCAGCUUACCCUGUGAAGGACCAAUAGUAAGCCAAAUUGGCAUAGCCCAAAACGUCAGGUCGAGGUGUAGCUAAUGGAGGGGGAAGAAAUGGGCUACAUUCACUAGCCCUAGUGAAUACGAACGAUGUACUGAAAUAUAUAUCCAAAGGAGGAUUUAGAAGUAAGUGGGAAAUAGAGUGUCCCACUGAAAUUGGCUCUAAAGCACGCACACACCGCCCGUCAUUCUCCCCGAACUUAUUUAAUACUAUAACUAAUUAUAUUACAAAUCAUAAAGGGGAGGCAAGUCGUAACAUGGUAAGUGUACCGGAAGGUGCACUUGGAAAAACC
rnacentral:ncRNA from 1 species